GGGGGGGGCUAAGCGUUGUUCGGAAUUACUGGGCGUAAAGGGUUCGUAGGUGGCCCGCUAAGUCACACGUGAAAUCCCUCAGCUUAACUGGGGAACUGCGUGUGAGACUGGCAGGCUUGAGUGCAGGAGAGGAACGCGGAAUUCCAGGUGUAGCGGUGAAAUGCGUAGAUAUCUGGAGGAACACCGGUGGCGAAGGCGGCGUUCUGGACUGUAUCUGACACUGAGGAACGAAAGCCAGGGGAGCAAACGGGAUUAGAUACCCCGGUAGUCCUGGCCCUAAACGAUGAAUGCUUGGUGUGACGGGUAUCGAUCCCUGUCGUGCCGCAGUUAACGCGUUAAGCAUUCCGCCUGGGGAGUACGGUCGCAAGGCUG
rnacentral:rRNA from 1 species